rnacentral:rRNA from 1 species
GACGAACGCUGGCGGCGUGCUUAACACAUGCAAGUCGAACGGAAAGGCCCUGCUUUUGUGGGGUGCUCGAGUGGCGAACGGGUGAGUAACACGUGAGUAACCUGCCUUUGACUUUGGGAUAACUUCAGGAAACUGGGGCUAAUACCGGAUAGGAGCUCCUGCUGCAUGGUGGGGGUUGGAAAGUUUCGGCGGUUGGGGAUGGACUCGCGGCUUAUCAGCUUGUUGGUGGGGUAGUGGCUUACCAAGGCUUUGACGGGUAGCCGGCCUGAGAGGGUGACCGGCCACAUUGGGACUGAGAUACGGCCCAGACUCCUACGGGAGGCAGCAGUGGGGAAUAUUGCACAAUGGGCGGAAGCCUGAUGCAGCAACGCCGCGUGCGGGAUGACAGCCUUCGGGAUGUAAACCGCUUUCGCCUGUGACGAAGCGUGAGUGACGGUAAUGGGUAAAGAAGCACCGGCUAACUACGUG